UCCACUGUCGACCAGAUGACAAGACUCAAACUCAGACUGCUGGAGAAGAGACUGGAAAACGAAAAGCAGAACAUGGACGACAGAGCAGAGUCGGCACAGUCUGCAAGGACUUAUGAUGGGCAUCUGGAUGCACUGUACGGUGCACUAAGGCGAAAGCAGGACCUCCUGCAAAGACUGAGGGAGCAGCAUAUGUUAGAAGACCUUCAUAGACCUCACACUUGGGGAGGGUCCAGAAAACACCACCAGUCCCAUUUUGUCACUGUCCCACCACGGCUGCCAGCACUCCCAUCCAAUUUACCCACUCACAUCCACCACCCAGCCCUGGCUUUGCCCUUCCUGGCGCCUCCACCACCUGCUGUGCCUACGCGCAUCAUUCAACAGACUCUCCCCCAGCAUCCUGCCACCAUCAUUCAACAGCUGCCCCAACAGCAGCCUCUGACUGCUCAGAUUCCUCUACCUCACCUGUAUCCUGCUCUACGUUCAGGCAGCGUCAAAGAGGACAUGGUGGAACUGAUGCUGAUGCAAAAUGCCCAGAUGCACCAGAUUAUAAUUCACAACAUGAUGCUGAAAGCCAUGCCUCAUAUGGCCCUGUCGCCAACCAGGGGACCCGAUAUCUGUGCCAUCCACAGUGGACAGCCAGAUGUCAGGCCAAGAGGAAGUGCUGUCCAUCAUCAUCAUCACUACGGUCCUCACCCUGCAGCAACACAAGUGCCUCGUAUCCGUUACCCUCCAUGGUUAUCAUCAGGCAUCCCAGAAGGACAAGCAGGGGGUCACCUCCCCCCCUUACACCAUGCAACAGCACCUAUUCCACUCCCACCAGUCAAUGCCACAACAGGGUCUGGCCCCGAGCUACAUCAGAGAACUGUUGACCCCUUCUUUGCCUGCAUGAAGCCUUAGAUCCUCAGGUGGAUCCUUGCUGGCUGUUCCAAAGUCCAGGUUGAGAACUAAAGGACUCAAGUUUUUCUCUGAGAAUCCCUGGUGUAGUAGCAGUGGUCAAACAUUAUGAAAAUAAAACUUCAAUAACCAAGAUUAAACAUUACACCCAUUGCGCAUCAUUCACCAAUGGAGUUACUGUUGAAACAUUUUAUUGUGUACAUGAAUCAUGUAUGAAUGGAAGACAAAUAAAUCCAGAUAAUAAACAGGGUCGA